rnacentral:sRNA from 1 species
CUAUGACCUUUGCCUAAGUGUUAUAAGCGUUACAAAAUCUUUGAUCAGUAAUGUUGCACAGCAGACUGUGCAGUUUAGCUAUUAUGACAAUUGGACUAUGAAAUCUAAUAGAUUUUGCACAGAGAAAAAACAGAAAAUUAAAUUAUGUACUACAUACUUGUUCAAAUAUCAAUCUAUUAGUCCAGCCAGUUAUUUUAUAAACAAUGGUCCAUCCCUACUGGACAUUAAGGUCAGCUGGUAUUCACACACCAGUUAGUUUGUAUUCAAAGCUAUUACAUCUCAUACAGUCUAACUGAACAAAAUGUUUUUAUUGUUUCUUUAUCCAAAAACAGUGUUUCUGAACAAUUAUUUUCAUUUUCGUGACAUGUAUACUUACUACAAACAGCAUAUACAUAUAAAACUGCUGUGCAAGUUUUGCCUUUUAAAAUGCAAUACUUCAUAUACAUUUUCCCUGGUUACAUAGUGCAGAGCAUGGCAAAAGUACAUUUCUAUUUGGAAAAAUGCUGUUGAAAACAUCUUAAGCUCAUUGUACUUAGAAAUAUUAAAAACCUUCUAUUUGAUAUUAGUUACUCACCAAACAUCAGAUCCAUCUUAACUAACAAUGAGUUUGUGCUAAAAGGCAAACUUGCUAUUCCUUAACUUGUUUUUUUAGUAUAUUACAGAGAUGUUGAUUUUAAUUAUUUUGUUUAUUCUAGCAUGCUUCAGUAAUUUUUGGAACAUGUGAAGAGGAAAUUCCAAAUAAUUCUGAAUGCUAUUGCAAAUCAAAAAAGGAUGAUAUCUACAUAUUUAUUUGUCACAAGCAUUUGGGAAAUAAAGACAACAAUGCUGUUAUACAAGCAUAUGUAACAAAUUUACAGGAAGAAACUAAAGUAACCAACAAACUUCAUGUGAAAUUUAAUCAAAAGAACUCAAACACAGAUGUUCAGUCAUGUCCAAAAUUGAAGACUUCUGAAGCUAAUUGGAAGGAACUUGCCAUAGGAUUUAUUAGCAGCACCAUAUUUCUUUUUGUUCUUCUUCUUGGGAUUUUGAUUCUUGUAUGCGUGUGUUUUAUAAGAAAAAGAAGAAAAGGAGCUAUACAUACAACAGAAAAAGGUUUUAAGGAAAAGACUGAAGGGUAAAUAUAUAUUUUUAAAAAUUUACUUUGAUUUUGCUAAGCUAAAAAUUAGCGAAACCUUGUUUCAUUCAUUAAGUGCCCUGA